GAUGAAGAACGUAGCAAAAUGCGAUAAGUAAUGUGAAUUGCAGAAUUCAGUGAGUCAUCGAAUCUUUGAACGCACAUUGCGCCCGCCAGUACUCUGGCGGGCAUGCCUGUCCGAGCGUCAUUUCAACCCUCAGGGCCCUCCAGCAGGGCGCUGGUGUUGGGGAUCGGCAGUCCCAGCGGCUGCCGUCCCUGAAAUGUAGUGGCGGUCCCACCGUGACCUCCCCUGUGCAGUACAUCGCUCGCAGAGGGACAGCGGUGCGGCCACGCCGUAAAACGCCCAACUCUUCAAGGUUGACCUCGGAUCAGGUAGGACUACCCGCUGAACUUAAGCAUAUCAAUAAGCGGAGGA
rnacentral:misc_RNA from 1 species